AGAUAUGUUCGUAGAGCCACGAACAGGAUAAUCAAAAAAAAGCUCAUUGAGA
rnacentral:sRNA from 12 species